UAGAUAUACAAAUACCUUUCACUUACAAAUAAUAUUCAAUCUGCAUAUUCUAUAAAGUAUACAUUUUUUUUUUUGAGUCUUAAUAAGAGUUACACAUUUAAGGUCAUUAGCCUGAUUUAUUUAGUUGGUUUAUUAUUGUGGGGGAUGGCACGGUUGGUUCGGUUCUAAAAGUUCUAACUUAGAACACGUGUAGUGAGGAUUUUUCACUAAAAAUUCGGACGAUCAUCCAUCCAACUAGCUACUUAACCUCUAAACAAACCUUAGCCGUAAAAUAUAGAUUUAUAAAUUUAUUUUAUAAAAUAAAAAAAUAAAAAAUGUAGUUAUUCAGAUUAUCACUGUAACUUAAAAAUAAUCAUUUCUGUUAAAUGCGUGUUUAAAUAUUUAAGUUUAGAAUAUAUUUAACUAAGUAACCUUUAAACCUAAAACGUCUAAUAAGGGGACGUGUUGAAUUGUUAUGAAUUAUUAUUUAUUUUUUCAGAUAAAUAAGAUUAAGGUCUAUAUUAUGCAAUAUAAAAUAGUAAAAGAUGUAAGUAUAGGUACUUAUUUAAUUUUAUUACAAUUUGAUAAAAUAAGCAAUAAAAAUAUGACAUAAAAUAUACAACGAAAUUAUCUUUGAUGAUCAUUAAGUAAAACCAAAGUUAUUUUUCACCGAAAAAGACUUUAUCUUAAAUAAAUCAAUUGUAUUUUUAAAAGUUUAUUUAAUUUUUUCAUUAAUGACAGAAUCCCCGAUUUCAUAAUUUUUAAAUUAGCAGUUUACCUAUAAGCAUCUAAGCCGUACUUCCAUUUGAAUAUAUACCUAUUACCUACCAUAAAGUAUGAAUUUUUCAUGUUUAUACUUAAGGUUAGAUUAUGUGACAAUAAUAUUAUGCAUUUGGUAUUAUACUUGCAAAAUGCAAAAUAAAAAUUAUAAUAUUUGUAUCAAUGGUGCCAUUCAUGGUUUGAUUAGGGUUAGGUAUUAUUACUAGUGCUGAGGAUUGAGGACUUCUUGCAGUCCGGUCAUAUUUUUUCUAUAAAGGUCGUAGAACUAGAACAAUAGGUAUAAAUAUGUUACAUAACACAAGGCCACUAUAGUUAAAAUUGUAUUUCAAAUGUAUUUGCAUAUUUUGUCAUAACUGCAUAUGAAAUAUGCAUAUUUAAGUAGGAAGUUUUAUAGGAAAAUUCGAGAAUAAAUUUUUCAAUUUUUCGAUACAACAAAGUUUUAAGAUAGUGUCGAAUGAGUUUGGACAGAUAAAAAUACAUAGUAGGUAUAGAUAAUAUUCGGUAUACAGACAAUAAUUUCACACUAUUGCGUGAUCGGAUCCAGACCGAGAUGAUUAUUCCACCGUAUCAAAAAGGUGCCACGAAUAUUACACUCAAGUUCACCGCAAAGCAUAUUCGCAGUCGCAUACAGAAUAAUAGAAUUUAAAAAUCCGAAGACCGAAGAUAUCGAAUUUAAACGAUAUCCUGCACUGAACCGCCACGAGUAUACUGAUAGUGUGCUGAAUACUGAUCAUUGAUCAAUAUUGGAAUGCUGGGUGAUCUAAUACACUAAGUAAUCACUAAUCAGUCGCGGUAUACAAUAUAAUAUCAUCAAGAUUUUAACGAUGUCAAAACUUCAGUUACAACAUACUUUUGGUUGUCAACAAAUAUACCUACGGUCCAAAUGCUCUUAUCGGAAUAGGAAAAGUAAACGGUACAUAUCGAUCAACCCUAAAUAGAUUUAGUUUUGAAGAAUAUUCCAGACUCUUCGCACAUGGAAUGAAGUACACACAACUGUUCAAUGCAUACAAUAUUAUAGGCUUUUUUUUGUUAAUGUGUAUUUACUAUUUAGACGUGGCUGAAUCAACAAAGUUGUAAUGCAUUUUUAGAAAAUAUUAUGAAAAAAUGAAAUUCAGCUAGAUACUUGAAAACGAACUCUCGUCAUUGAUGUACCCAAAUAGCCUACCCAAAACGCCGUGUACAAAGGAUACCAGUGGUUAGUGAUACGUAACCACUAACCAUAUAUAAUAUUCUUAUAUUAUUAUUUUUUAUCGAACUAAAUAAUGGCAACUAUGAUCAUUAGCUGUUUUUUAGAGGCGAAUGGUUGGUUGGAACACAUAUACAUGCGUGUGGCAAGAAUUUCGUUGCUAAAAAUCCCUGAUGGUCACCCAUCCGGGAGCCAGCA